GAUGCAUUCAAAUGUGUGCUCCAAAGUCUACGGGUGCAGCCUGAGUUGGGUGACAGGCCAAUUUUGAUGGGGAGAGACCCGUUUCCUCCUUCUGGAAGCAACGGCGGUUUCGGAAAGACAUCCUUUAAGGUCCUUCGCUGGCAAGGGAGGCCCACGCCAGGAAAACCAUGUCUUUUUUAUAAAUGAUUAGCCCCUAUGACCAACAUGAGCUGGAGUUUCCUCACCCGCCUACUAGAAGAAAUCCACAACCACUCCACUUUUGUCGGGAAGGUCUGGCUGACCGUCUUGAUCGUCUUCCGGAUCGUCUUGACGGCCGUCGGAGGCGAGUCCAUCUAUUCCGACGAGCAGAGCAAGUUCACGUGUAACACCAAGCAGCCCGGCUGCGACAACGUGUGCUACGACGCUUUCGCCCCGCUGUCCCACGUCCGCUUCUGGGUCUUCCAGAUCAUCAUGAUCUCGACGCCUUCCGUCAUCUACCUGGGCUACGCCAUCCACCGGAUCGCCCGGUCUUCAGAAGACGAGAAGAAGAGGUGCCGAGGGUUCAAGAAGAAGAAACAGUUUGCGCUCAACUGGCAGGCGGUCCGCAAUCUGGAAGACCCUCUGGGGCCGGACGAGGAAGAGCCCAUGAUAGCGGAUGAAAUCAUGGAAGCAGAAGAGAAAACCAAGAAGGAAGAGAAGAAGAAGGAUCAGCAGAAACACGACGGCCGGAGACAUAUCCAAGAGGAAGGCCUGAUGAAAAUUUAUGUCUUCCAGCUUCUCACCCGAGCCUCCUUCGAAGUGUGCUUCUUGAUCGGGCAGUACAUGCUCUACGGCUUCGAAGUCACACCCUACUACCUUUGCAGCCGACAGCCUUGCCCGCACGAAGUCGACUGCUUUGUCUCCAGGCCCACUGAGAAGACCAUCUUUCUCUUGGUGAUGUACGUCGUCAGUUGCCUUUGCCUGCUGCUCAACGUGGCCGAGAUGUGCCAUUUGGGCAUCGGCACCAUCCGAGACGCCAUCCGGGAGCGGAAAAUCCACAGCUUCCGGCAGCCGCCCUACAACUAUGCCGCUUAUCCCAAGAAUAUCUCCUGUCCUCCGGAAUAUAACCUGGUGGUGAAAUCGGACAAGCCGGCCAAAGUGCCCAACAGCCUGAUGGCCCACGAGCAGAACUUGGCCAAUGUGGCGCAGGAACAGCACUGCACCAGCCCCGAUGAGAACAUCCCGCCGGACUUGUCCACGCUCCACAAACACUUGCGGGUCGCUCAGGAGCAGCUAGACAUUGCCUUCCAAAGCUACAAUAGCACUCAGGCCAACGGGCAGCCCUCACGGACCAGCAGCCCGGCUUCUGGAGGGACAGUGGCGGAGCAGAACCGAGCCAAUACAGCCCAGGAGAAACAAGGGGCAAAACCCAAGGCCAGUUCGGAGAAGGGCAGUUCUAAUGGCAAAGACGGGAAGAACUCAGUAUGGAUAUAGUGAGGUGUGCCCUAUAAUGAUUUGGAGAGGGGAUGGAGAGGCCGUGGAUACCUUUUUUGAUGGAACGAGGUCCUGUUUGACAGAGCACUGGUGAUGUCCGGGUUCACUCUUAUAUGAAGGGCAAAUACAUUGUGAAAUGUCGACAGACAGUUGCAACUAACGGGUGCAUUUUCACAUGUCCCAUCCGGUGGGUUAACAAGGGGCCAGUCCCCAGCCCGUACCCUGUUUUGUCUCCCUGGUGCACUAGUCACUCAGUAACCGGGAACCAGUGGAACCAGUUUGCGUUGCUUGCAAGGCUGUUGACAAGUCUUUGGUCCCAAGUCCCAAGUCUGAGUCUUUGGUCCCAAGUCCCAAGUCUGAGUCUUUGGUCCCAAGUCCCAAGUCAAAAUCCCUCUUAAAAAACAAGUUUCUGAGUCGCAGGUCAAAUCUGAGUCAUGGGGGGGGGGCAGAAAUUGAGCCGAGUCACUGGUUUGACUUACGUCUGACUUGACAGAGAGCCAUGUGACUCAAGCCCGCAACCCUGGUUGCUUGUGACUCCAAAGGAGAAGCCAUGUAGAGGUUGCCGUUAGUAUUUGGGCCAGAAUUUCCUCAAGAUCCCUUGUCAAAUAAAAAGAAAGGGGAAAGCUAUUAUAGCACUUACUCGCCCCUUCAAAGAAAGAGCCAGCCCUUAAGAUGGCACUGAGACUCUGAGAUGCCCCCCCCCUUUCAAGAUGUCUGAAACUCCCCAUCUGACUUCCUGGAUAUGAGGGAUGGGGCUGUUGGAUUUCACCAAGAAAUCCCCCAGGUGCUUGGUGGGAAGGGUAGUUCUUUGGGAGUCAGCCUCCAUAGAGCCUAAUGGGCAGCAGGAAUUUUUGGCGACCUCUCCCCAAAUUCUGAGCGAAUUCUGGGAGUUCCAAGUCCAAAAAUCUGAUCCCUACCUGGUAUGGCUGUCAGGUUUAGUUCUGCCUUGUCAGGCUGGCUGUAAUCCUUAAGUCUUCUCUUUGCCUAUGUGGUUUCUCUCUUGUUCUUUGCUCAUCCAGCUCUUCCUUUUGAAUCUUCUGCUGGUCCAUGUCUAUUGUCGCCCCCCCCACCCCUUCUUAAUGGCCAAGACAAAAAAAGUCUUCUCUAAGGGUCAAGGGACAUGUACGUUGAGCCCAUUUCUUGCAGGAAUGCUCCUCCAAGUAGUGAAAGACAUUUGUCAUAUCACAUGGCAUUCUUCACCUAGGUAUCUUGCAUGUAGUCUGCUUUGUUUUAUGAUUGGCCAUGGAAAGGAACAUGUGGGCUUCAUUUGGAGGUCCAAUCCUUGGAACAAGGAUUUAUAAGGAAAACCCACUAUGGGAAGGAAAUGGAUUAAUUAUGGGGAGUACAUAUCCCCCUUAAUAUCUUGUCUGACCUUGAGUUUCUUAUGCUGGCUUUUUUUACUUAUACACACACUGCAACUUAUUUUAAUAAUAAUGAUUGUGUGCCAUCAAGUCCAUGUUGACUUAUGGCAACCCCUUUCUGGCUCUUCUAGGUGAAGGGUACUCCAAAGUGGUUGACUAUUCCCUUCUUGUAAGGAUGUCCUGGGACUGUCCAGCUUGCCCAAGGCCACCCAGGAUGGCUCUUCUCCCUGGAGGUACAGUUUGGAAAUUGAACUCCCAAGCCAGAUACUCAACUCACAGAGCCAUCCGGCCAGCGAAACGUACUUUAGAUUGCAUCUUUUCCAAUGCCCUUCCAAUUGCUGUCUCUAUCUCCAGCCCCAACAUACAAUCCCACCUUUCUUUGCUAGUUUUGGGCCUAUAGCUAUGAAAGGGAGCUUUCGUAGCUAUGGGCCCAUGCUCUGUACCGUAUGUCCCCAUGCUCUGUACCUUCUGAGGUCCGGUUCCAUGACUCAGACCAUUUCUAAGCUCAAUUAAUUUCUAAUCGAUUUGGCAGAGGGGUGCCCCAGCUGCAGGUUCCACUGCGAUAUUUUACAUUAAUGCUCUGGACCACCCCUGCUGUUGACAUCUGCAAAUGCUAGAGCUCAACUAACCUGUACGUACCGCUGUGCUGGAAUCGUCAAUUGGCUUCUAGAAAGCUGGGGUUAGCUGGCAAAGGGAAGCCAAAGACCCAGGAAAUCUUCCAGAAAUCCAAGGGAUUUCUGCUGUUGACUUCAGAUAAGUGGGUUUUCAUAGAAUCAAAGAAUAGUGGUUGGAAGGGGCUUCUAAGGCCAUCCAGUCCAACCCGCC